GGCUCCUUCCGUUACUUUCUCACUCCAUCUUGUGUUCUCCUAGCUGUUUUUUUCCCCCCUUGGAUUUAUGAGUUGUGCUCUGCACUGGCUCCAUGGCGGUUUAUAACAACACACCAGAGCAGUAAAUGUUGGAGUGAGUGGUGUGUGAUCCAGGUGAACUGUUCCAAGACACCAACCAGAGGAGCAGCAGGGAAAUUCACAAAGAAGAUCCUGAGAAUGAGUUUUGGGGCAAAAAGGCAACAUUUGCAGCUCAAAACGAGACCUCAGAGCAGCACUGUAGAGGAACAGAUAUGGGAAAGGGUGUGCCAUUACUGGGAGAGUCACGUGCGUCGGGAUACAAGUAGUUUGAAGCACAUGCAGACACUUCAACACCCACACUGAGCAGUUUUUGGAUUUGCUGCAGCACUUUAUUUACUGAUAACAAGUGUUGCUCCAGGCUAUCCAUCAUUAUGGUGCAGCAGUGCUGAGGUAUGCUUAGGUGAGCCUGAUUAAAGCCAAGGAUGCCUCUCAACCUGCUCUGAAGGAAAUGAGCGCAGAGGGAGGACUCCAGACCCCCCUUUCCAUCCGUCUCCCUGCUGCUUUAUUCAUGUGCUAUCCGGUUCACUGGAUUCUGCAUCAGGUUCCAUCUCCAUAAGUUGCAUUGUACAGCAGGUGCUGCUGAAUUGUGUAUGUCUCAUUAUGUGUACCACAAUGUCUUCCUCUCUUUCCAUUUGUGUGUGAAUAAAUGUGCUUGGAGAAAUAA